rnacentral:sRNA from 12 species
UACACCGCUGACCGUUGAAAUACGGCUUACUCGCCAUAAUUGUAAAGAUGAGUGGAAAUCGGUCCGAUACAGGGCACCCGGUAAAGCGGUCGCACCUGCCGGGUGCAGGAGAUAGAA